UACGAAGGGGGCUAGCGUUGCUCGGAAUCACUGGGCGUAAAGGGUGCGUAGGCGGGUUUUUAAGUCAGGGGUGAAAUCCUGGAGCUCAACUCCAGAACUGCCUUUGAUACUGUAGAUCUUGAGUUCGGGAGAGGUGAGUGGAACUGCGAGUGUAGAGGUGAAAUUCGUAGAUAUUCGCAAGAACACCAGUGGCGAAGGCGGCUCACUGGCCCGAUACUGACGCUGAGGCACGAAAGCGUGGGGAGCAAACAGG
rnacentral:rRNA from 1 species